GCCCCAGUAGCUCAGUCAGUAGAGCGUUACACUGGUAAUGUAAAGGUCGUGGGUGCAAUUCCCACCUGGGGCU
rnacentral:tRNA from 1 species